CAGGUUGACCGGAGCCGAAUCACCAAAACACGAACCUCGCCGGAGAGCCGCUGCACCCGAGAGCGCCGCCGCCGGUAAGCUCCGUUUUUCCGUGAUUUUUUGGCCCCCCGAGGGCCCUAGGGCUGUUUUCUGACAAGGACCAAUGCGAGUGUGGCCGAAUUCGGUCGAAAACGGCCGAAAACAGUCAACCCGAGGCGACUCGCCGCCGCCAGCGGCGGCGCCGUCGCCGGAGCACGGCGGAGCCGCCGUGCCGGAGUUGCGAUUUGGUCCGAAAGGGGCCCUGGGCCUAAUUUGGAUUUUUUUUGGAACACGUGCAGGUACUGUUAGUGUGUUUCAGUUCCCCGGGAAAAAAAUUCAGGGAAAAUUAGGGAAGGCCUGCAGGCGCACUGUGAAUCGUAUUCGGAUCUCGAAAACAAGUAAG
rnacentral:lncRNA from 1 species